GGACGAACGCUGGCGGCGUGCCUAAUACAUGCAAGUCGAGCGGACCGAACAGGAGCUUGCUCUUGUUCGGUUAGCGGCGGACGGGUGAGUAACACGUGGGUAACCUGCCCGUAAGACCGGGAUAACUCCGGGAAACCGGAGCUAAUACCGGAUAACACCGAAGACCGCAUGGUCUUUGGUUGAAAGGCGGCUUCGGCUGCCACUUACGGAUGGGCCCGCGGCGCAUUAGCUAGUUGGUGAGGUAACGGCUCACCAAGGCGACGAUGCGUAGCCGGCCUGAGAGGGUGACCGGCCACACUGGGACUGAGACACGGCCCAGACUCCUACGGGAGGCAGCAGUAGGGAAUCUUCCGCAAUGGACGAAAGUCUGACGGAGCGACGCCGCGUGAGCGAAGAAGGUCUUCGGAUCGUAAAGCUCUGUUGUUAGGGAAGAAGAAGCGUCGUUCGAACAGGGCGGCGCGGUGACGGUACCUAACGAGAAAGCCCCGGCUAACUACGUG
rnacentral:rRNA from 1 species